rnacentral:rRNA from 1 species
UACGUAGGGUGCGAGCGUUGCCCGGAUUUAUUGGGCGUAAAGGGCGCGUAGGCGGCUCUGCACGUCCGUUGUGAAAUCGCCCGGCUCAACUGGGCGGGGUCAGCGGAUACGGCAGAGCUCGAGCAAGCUAGGGGGCAAUGGAAUUCCCGGUGUAGUGGUGGAAUGCGUAGAUAUCGGGAGGAACACCAGUGGCGAAGGCGGCUGACUGGACAUGUAUUGACGCUGAGGUGCGAAAGCGUGGGGAGCAAACAGG